rnacentral:tmRNA from 1 species
GGGGGUGACUGGCUUCGACUUCGAUCUUGCAACUCAGUGGGAAGCGGGCCGAGGACUGCGGACAUAACCUCGUUAAUCCUGUGACCGCAAAACAAUAAGUGCCAAUAAGACGCACUCUGAGGUUUCCCAGGCCAGCCUGGGCCUCGCCGCCUAAGCAGCGAGGACCUCUGUCAGCCCGGGAGCGCCUCCGGCCCGGAUCUGACAUCGCUAGGAGGCUCAACCGGUCGCCCCGGCUACGGGGGUGACCGGGAAAUCAAACAGUAGCUGGGCCCGUCGGCGACUCGCCUGUGUGAUCGCCGGGGCCGAGAAAAGCGCAACAGGCUGCGCCCGGAGAAGCCCUGUCUUGGGAUUGAAGGACGCGGGUUCGAUUCCCGCCACCUCCACC